AACGAACGCUGGCGGCAGGCCUAACACAUGCAAGUCGAGCGCCCAGCAAUGGGAGCGGCAGACGGGUGAGUAACACGUGGGAACCUUCCCUAUAGUACGGAAUAGCCCAGGGAAACUUGGAGUAAUACCGCAUACGCCCGAGAGGGGAAAGAUUUAUCGCUAUAGGAUGGGCCCGCGUAGGAUUAGCUAGUUGGUGAGGUAAUGGCUCACCAAGGCGACGAUCCUUAGCUGGUCUGAGAGGACGACCAGCCACACUGGGACUGAGACACGGCCCAGACUCCUACGGGAGGCAGCAGUGGGGAAUCUUCCGCAAUGGGCGAAAGCCUGACGGAGCAAUGCCGCGUGUGGGAUGAAGCGUCUCUGACGUGUAAACCACUGUCAGGGGUUGGAAACAAUGAUCGACCCCAAAGGAAGUGGCGACUAACUCUGUGCCAGCAGCCGCGGUAAU
rnacentral:rRNA from 1 species